CUUCUGCUCCUAGCAGCUGGUGAUGUCUCUCCAAACCCCGGUCCCAUCUUAACAAACACACCACGUACGAACUCAAGAAACCACACCAAUCUCAUACCUAUCUCUUGUUACUCUAAAUCCUCCUUCAAUACUGCCCUCUGGAAUGCACACUCUUUGCAAUAUUACAAAAUCCACUGCUGUCCACAACCUCUUCAUCUUUCAUUCCCUAGAUUUACUAGACUUAACAGAAACAUGGCACUCCCCC